GAUGAACGCUGGCGGCGUGCCUAAUACAUGCAAGUCGAGCGAACAGACGAGGAGCUUGCUCCUCUGACGUUAGCGGCGGACGGGUGAGUAACACGUGGAUAACCUACCUAUAAGACUGGGAUAACUUCGGGAAACCGGAGCUAAUACCGGAUAACAUGUUGAACCGCAUGGUUCAACAGUGAAAGACGGUCUUGCUGUCACUUAUAGAUGGAUCCGCGCCGCAUUAGCUAGUUGGUAAGGUAACGGCUUACCAAGGCAACGAUGCGUAGCCGACCUGAGAGGGUGAUCGGCCACACUGGAACUGAGACACGGUCCAGACUCUUACGGGAGGCAGCAGUAGGGAAUCUUCCGCAAUGGGCGAAAGCCUGACGGAGCAACGCCGCGUGAGUGAUGAAGGUCUUCGGAUCGUAAAACUCUGUUAUUAGGGAAGAACAAAUGUGUAAGUAACUAUGCACGUCUUGACGGUACCUAAUCAGAAAGCCACGGCUAACUACGUGCCAGCAGACGCGGUAAUACGUAGGUGGCAAGCGUUAUCCGGAAUUAUUGGGCGUAAAGCGCGCGUAGGCGGUUUUUUAAGUCUGAUGUGAAAGCCCACGGCUCAACCGUGGAGGGUCAUUGGAAACUGGAAAACUUGAGUGCAGAAGAGGAAAGUGGAAUUCCAUGUGUAGCGGUGAAAUGCGCAGAGAUAUGGAGGAACACCAGUGGCGAAGGCGACUUUCUGGUCUGUAACUGACGCUGAUGUGCGAAAGCGUGGGGAUCAAACAGGAUUAGAUACCCUGGUAGUCCACGCCGUA
rnacentral:rRNA from 1 species